GAUGAACGCUGGCGGCGUGCCUAAUACAUGCAAGUCGAGCGAACGGACGAGAAGCUUGCUUUUCUGAUGUUAGCGGCGGACGGGUGAGUAACACGUGGAUAACCUACCUAUAAGACUGGGAUAACUUCGGGAAACCGGAGCUAAUACCGGAUAAUAUUUUGAACCGCAUGGUUCAAAAGUGAAAGACGGUCUUGCUGUCACUUAUAGAUGGAUCCGCGCUGCAUUAGCUAGUUGGUAAGGUAACGGCUUACCAAGGCAACGAUGCAUAGCCGACCUGAGAGGGUGAUCGGCCACACUGGAACUGAGACACGGUCCAGACUCCUACGGGGGGCAGCAGUAGGGAAUCUUCCGCAAUGGGCGAAAGCCUGACGGAGCAACGCCGCGUGAGUGAUGAAGGUCUUCGGAUCGUAAAACUCUGUUAUUAGGGAAGAACAUAUGUGUAAGUAACUGUGCACAUCUUGACGGUACCUAGUCAGAAAGCCACGGCUAACUACGUG
rnacentral:rRNA from 1 species